UCAGAACGAACGCUGGCGGCAGGCUUAACACAUGCAAGUCGAGCGCCCCGCAAGGGGAGCGGCAGACGGGUGAGUAACGCGUGGGAAUCUACCCUUUUCUACGGAAUAACGCAGGGAAACUUGUGCUAAUACCGUAUGUGUCCUUCGGGAGAAAGAUUUAUCGGGAAAGGAUGAGCCCGCGUUGGAUUAGCUAGUUGGUGGGGUAAAGGCCUACCAAGGCGACGAUCCAUAGCUGGUCUGAGAGGAUGAUCAGCCACWUUGGGACUGAGACWCGGCCCRAACUCCUACGGGAGGCWGCWGUGGGGAAUAUUGGACKAUGGGCGCWAGCYUGAUCCAGCCWUGCCGCGUGAGUGAUGAAGGCCCUAGGGUUGUAAAGCUUCUUUCACCGGAGAAGAUAAU
rnacentral:rRNA from 1 species